GGCAGGUAUCUCUGUCAUGGCAGGGGAAUGAAAAGACAAAAGUGUGCAACCUGACCUCUUGCUUGUCAGGAACAGCAACAUUUGGGCUUCUCUGUGCAGUUAGGAUUUCCCCCCUCAUCCAAACAGGUAUUUCUGAUUGCAGAAAUAGCCACCUCAGCUCUUCAAUCAGAAGCUCAUCACUGAGCAGGUAAGUAGGAGAGAUGCAUAAAAGACUGUCCCAGAUUCUGUGCUGCAUAACUAGCUCUACUUUUGACUUCAGGAAGAUGAACAGAAAAAGAAUGCAUGGAGUAGGGAAGGGACUAGAUACAACUAACACCCACAGAUGAUGAAAAGUACUGACCCCUUUGCUUUUCAUUAUGGGACUUGGAAAUGGUUACUCCUGUGUCUAGGUCACAUUUUAAUUGAAGGCAUUGAUGCAUGGCUAACACUUUAAACUUCAGUAAUGGAAGCUAGAGCUCAUGCUGCUUUUAUGGUGGCCACCGUAAUUAUUAAGGUCUUGACUUCUGUUCAGUUUGUCAUCUUCAUUUUAACAACAACAAGAAAAAUGAGCAGGGGAGCAGCAUUUCCUUUGACAGCUUUCAGAACAGGCCUGUUGCCAGCAAGUUCCCCUGGUGCAGAACUCGGGCAGCUUAGCUGGCUGGACCCUGCCCACAGGAGCUUGUGACUCCAGCAAUUUUUCCAAAGCCACUUGAGUGCUUCUGCUUAGUCCCUCCUCAAGCCAGCUCACCACUCCCCCGCCCGCUACCCACAGAGUUGGAAUUUGUAACCUAGGACAAAGAUUAGCUUUGUUCCCCUAAACGCAGCUCCUAGUAGCCAAAGAUAGCGAGACACCCAAGUGAGUAGCUCAGGGUUUCAAGUUUUAUUCCAGGAAGCAGCCUUAACCACUCAAAACUCCCUCUGGUACAAAUUGACCAGGUUGAAAGUUACAAGUUUAGAAGUAACUUACAACUCCACUAGCAGAAUUAGGUCUUACCCUCCAAAGUCAGUGGCUUUCAGCCCCUUUUCAAGCAAUUGCUUGCAUUCUUGCUUCACAGCUAUAAAUAUAAAAUAAAUAAGCUAGGUUCAAUUUUAGUAAGGGACUUCAAUCCUGCCGCACUCUCCUCAUGUUACCAUGCAGCUGGGAAGCCAGAAGCUCAGAGGCAGUGGCUAUCUGGCACUGCAGCCUUGGUUCCUCUCCUGGGUCUGCCUUUUCCAGAGUUCAAGUUACAGGUGUGUCAUUCAAGUGUAUAAAUAUAAAAUUCAAGCAAUCUUGGACAGGCUUGAUGAGCUUCAGUUGGGCAGUUAAGAUAUAUAUAGUUUUGCUCAAGACCUCUACAACCAAGAGAAGUCUCCACCUCUGUGUUUUGUCUUGUCCAAGGUAACACACAAACGCACCCAUGGACACAUGUCAAAGGUGAAGGGAAGGUCAGGAAUACCCACCCUGUGGGGUAUAAGAGUUAUCUAGCAGAUUAGCUCUGUUGUCUGGUUAGGAGAUCCUGGUCUCUGAUACCUACAGUCCUAAGCCAACCCUCUGCCUGUAAGACAAGGGACUUUGCUGGAAGAACAGGCUCCCACCCAAAGCAUCCCUGCCUUGCAAAUCUUUGCAGAGCAGCACCAAAGCCUGAGCAGCACCUCUGUCCUCCAGCCACCAGCACAAGAGAACGACUAUUCCUGCCAGGCAGACUCAGCCUGUGGCCACAGCCGGGCUGUUUUCAGCCACACUUCAGGCAUUUACAGGUACUUGGAUGAACUAAACUAGACUGGGGUUUGGUAGGGCAGGUGCUUUCUUUGUUCAGGACAAGAGCAAAGUAGAGAUCGGUCUUUCCACUUAGAAGUGACAAAGGAAAUCUUUAUGAAGAUGAAAGUUCAUUAAGAUGAAAGGCUUGUUACAAAAAUAGCUUUAUCCCAAUUUAAAAUGUAUUACUGGCUUCCACUGCAACCUCCAUCCUCACGUGCCUGCAACUUGCUGGACAACAAAGCCCUAAGCACAGAUCUAUCAUUUCCUUCUUUGUUUUCCAUCUGUACAUGCCAUGACCAAAAUAAAAGCUUCAGUACUGACA